GGCUCGUUGGUCUAGGGGU
rnacentral:ncRNA from 3 species